CAAGGUAAAGCCAAAGAGAGGCAAAUUUUUGUUACAAAUUUAAUUGGAUAUUUUCCUGCCUUGG
rnacentral:tRNA from 1 species